rnacentral:rRNA from 1 species
UACGUAGGGGGCUAGCGUUGUCCGGAAUCAUUGGGCGUAAGGCGCGUGUAGGCGGUCCGGUAAGUCCGCUGUGAAAGUCGGGGGCUCAACCCUCGAAUGCCGGUGGAUACUGUCGGGCUAGAGUGCGGAAGAGGCGAGUGGAAUUCCUGGUGUAGCGGUGAAAUGCGCAGAUAUCAGGAGGAACACCAAUGGCGAAGGCAGCUCGCUGGGACGUGACUGACGCUGAGACGCGAAAGCGUGGGGAGCAAACAGG